UACGGGGGGGGCAAGCGUUGUUCGGAAUUACUGGGCGUAAAGGGCUCGUAGGCGGCCAACUAAGUCGGAUGUGAAAUCCCCAGGCUUAACCUGGGAACUGCAUCCGAUACUGGAUGGCUUGAAUCCGGGAGAGGGAUGCAGAAUUCCAGGUGUAGCGGUGAAAUGCGUAGAUAUCUGGAGGAAUACCGGUGGCGAAGGCAGCUCGCUGGGACGUUACUGACGCUGAGACGCGAAAGCGUGGGGAGCAAACAGG
rnacentral:rRNA from 1 species